rnacentral:lncRNA from 1 species
AUGUUGAUUGUUCUUCAUCUCAAAGACAGGUUUGUGCGAGUGGCCCUUUCCUCUCCUUCCUAGCGUGGUUGGGUAACCUUAGUCUCCCAGACUGGUUUUAUUAUUAACCCUUCCAGUUAACUCUGGUUAAGCAAUGAAAUAAUUCUACGGCUGGGGGGGGGGGGGGUCACCGCAACACGAGGAACUGUAUUAAAAGGCCGGAAGGCUGAGAGCCGCUGCUCUAGGAGAACAGCAUAAGCCUGGGUUCUUCUGAUGGGCCUGAGCCGUGCGUGCUCUGCAGCGCUGAAAGUACAUUCAGGUGCUUCUGUGAGGGUCUCUGGUGCCCCGAGCAGCGCUAAGCCACUAAGCCUGUGUCCCACCAAAGGCUGGCAGGCCCCUUGAAGACUUGUUUGAGCUUAUGACUUGGAGCUGGCCUUAGGAGUAUAUUUGAGACUUGGAAGCACCCAACCUUACCUGGCCAUUUCAUAACCUUUCUGCAUUACCAGGACCCUCCACUACUCCCCAGCAGUUGACAAAUCUCAAUGUAUAAUUCUUGAGAAAACACUCAUUGUUGGUUGCAGCCUCGAGUAAACCACCCAAAAAGUCCCUAAUCCCA